UGAGACCCGGCCCAGAUUCUUCGGGAGGCAGCAGUAGGGAUCUUCCGCAAUGGACGAAAGUCUGACGGAGCAACGCCGCGUGAGUGAUGAAGGUUUUCGGAUCGUAAAGCUCUGUUGUUAGGGAAGAACAAGUGCGAGAGUAACUGCUCGCACCUUGACGGUACCUAACCAGAAAGCCACGGCUAACUACGUGCCAGCAGCCGCGGUAAUACGUAGGUGGCAAGCGUUGUCCGGAAUUAUUGGGCGUAAAGGGCUCGCAGGCGGUUUCUUAAGUCUGAUGUGAAAGCCCCCGGCUCAACCGGGGAGGGUCAUUGGAAACUGGGAAACUUGAGUGCAGAAGAGGAGAGUGGAAUUCCACGUGUAGCGGUGAAAUGCGUAGAGAUGUGGAGGAACACCAGUGGCGAAGGCGACUCUCUGGUCUGUAACUGACGCUGAGGAGCGAAAGCGUGGGGAGCGAACAGGAUUAGAUACCCUGGUAGUCCACGCCGUAAACGAUGAGUGCUAAGUGUUAGGGGGUUUCCGCCCCUUAGUGCUGCAGCUAACGCAUUAAGCACUCCGCCUGGGGAGUACGGUCGCAAGACUGAAACUCAAAGGAAUUGACGGGGGCCCGCACAAGCGGUGGAGCAUGUGGUUUAAUUCGAAGCAACGCGAAGAACCUUACCAGGUCUUGACAUCCUCUGACAACCCUAGAGAUAGGGCUUUCCCUUCGGGGACAGAGUGACAGGUGGUGCAUGGUUGUCGUCAGCUCGUGUCGUGAGAUGUUGGGUUAAGUCCCGCAACGAGCGCAACCCUUGAUCUUAGUUGCCAGCAUUCAGUUGGGCACUCUAAGGUGACUGCCGGUGACAAACCGGAGGAAGGUGGGGAUGACGUCAAAUCAUCAUGCCCCUUAUGACCUGGGCUACACACGUGCUACAAUGGACAGAACAAAGGGCUGCAAGACCGCAAGGUUUAGCCAAUCCCAUAAAUCUGUUCUCAGUUCGGAUCGCAGUCUGCAACUCGACUGCGUGAAGCUGGAAUCGCUAGUAAUCGCGGAUCAGCAUGCCGCGGUGAAUACGUUCCCGGGCCUUGUACACACCGCCCGUCACACCACGAGAGUUUGCAACACCCGAAGUCGGUGAGGUAACCUUUAUGGAGCCAGCCGCCGAAGGUGGCAGG
rnacentral:rRNA from 1 species